UUCGCAAUGCCCGAAAGGGUGACGCAGCGACGCCGCGUGCGGGAAGGAGGCCUUCGGGUUGUAAACCGCUGUCGGGAGUUAAGAAAUGCAAGGGUGUUAACAGCAUCCUUGCUUGACUAAGGCUCCGGAGGAAGCCACGGCUAACUCUGUGCCAGCAGCCGCGGUAAUACAGAGGCGGCAAGCGUUGUUCGGAAUUAUUGGGCGUAAAGAGCACGUAGGCGGCUGUGUAAGUCGGUUGCGAAAGCCUUCCGCUCAACGGGAGAACGGCAUCCGAUACUGCAUGGCUAGAGUGCGGGAGGGGGGAGUGGAACUUCUGGUGGAGCGGUGAAAUGCGUAGAUAUCAGAAGGAACGCCGGCGGCGAAAGCGGCUCUCUGGCUCGUAACUGACGCUGAGUGUGCGAAAGCUAGGGGAGCAAACGGGAUUAGAUACCCCGGUAGUCCUAGCCGUAAACGAUGGGCACUAAGUAGAGGGGUUUU
rnacentral:rRNA from 1 species